AAUAAUUAAUUUAAUCAAUUACUACAAUCUCAAAAUAGCCGUUUAUUAAGUUGAAAUAUACAAUUAUUUUUUGGUUUGAUUUUUCUCUUAAAAAUCCUUGUUUACGUGUCAACAAGCAACAUGUACCUAUUGAUCUUUCUCACCAAUCCACCAGUGUCCUAGAAUCUGAAAUUGCGUGGUUAAAACAUAGAGGAGGAGUAUCAAAUUGUGUGGUUCAAAAUUUAUUUUUAAAAAAAUCUCAAACUGUGACACGUUAUUAUUGAUGUUUCAUCUUUAUGCCCGCAGACUGACGUAUGCCUAUCUGUCUUUCUCACCAAUCCAUCAAUGUCUUAAAAUCUCAAAUUGAGUGGUUCAAAAAUACAUCAAGAUUAUCAAAUUGUGGUUCAAAUUUUACUAUAAAAAAAAUCUGAAUUUGUGAGAAAGCGAUUGUUCAAAUUUCACGAUCCACGCUUUUCGUUUGACACGACAGCCAAAACAAUUUUGACUUGUUUAUUGAAUUUUAAUUUUAUUUAAAUUUUU
rnacentral:lncRNA from 1 species